GUGCUCACUUUGGCAGCACACAUACUAAAAUUGGAAUGAUACAGAGAAGAUUAGCAUGGCCCCUGCACAAGGACGACAUGCAAAUUUGUGGAGCUUCCACAUUUUUA